AAAACAAUGAAAGUAGGACAGGAUAAGUUACAGUACUGUAAGUUUUCCUCUCAGCCUCAAACUCCCAAGGAUUGUCACCUGGGUCUGUCAAAAAACUCAACAUUCUGCUUGCAUGUUGGUUAAAAAAAUGAAUAAAUGAAUAAAAUGCUACAAUUAUAAAAACCUAAAGUGAGCUCCAAAAUCUAGGAAAGGAGGAACAUCUAAAAUCAGCUACAUUUUUAAGGGCACUAUAAGCAGCACAGCAUACAAAUCUACUCUUGCUCUACUACUUCAUCCAGGGAAAUCACCCCCCUAAUAUUCAAUUAUCAUCUCUAUGCAGAUGAUUCUCAGAUCUACUUAUCUAGCCAUAACUUUGAACUGCCAGUGUUCCAUUUCCAACGGACUACUGAUCAUCUUGACCUCAAUUCCUUACAGAUGCCUUAAAUUCCAACCUGUCCAAAACUGAACUCAUCUUUCCUGGAUUCAUGUCUAUCCACUCUAUUCUGUCCUCUAUUUAGUUGCCAGUAAUCUUCUUAAAGCCUAGUCCAAUGACUUCCUAUUACUUUCAGAAUUAAAUGUAAAAACCUCCAUUUGAUUUUAAAGCCUUUCAUAACUCUUCCUCUCUUUUCAAUUCUCUCACAUUUGACUCCCCAGGUAACUUACCAUUUAGCAAUACUCACUUUCUGUAUGUUGCUCAAACAUAAUACUCCACAUCUUUUUUUGCUGGCUUUCUCCAAACCUAGAAUGCUCUUCCUCCUCAUCUCUGCUUCCUACUUUCCUUUAAGCUUCUGCUCAAAUUCUACCUUCUGGAAGAGGCUAUUACCCUUACUCCCUCAGCAAGAGCUUUUCCUUUGAGAUUAUCUUCUUUCACUUUAUCUUGUAUACACAUUUAUUUAACACCUUGUCUUCCCCAUGGAAACUUUAGGUACAUGAGGGGAGAGACUGCUUUUACCUUUUAUUGUAUACUCACUAUUUGGAUAGUACACUUAAUAAAUGUUUUUUGACUUUUGGUUAAGCACAAAUUGGAAGUCUGGCACUAUUUGGGGCUCUAGCAGUCAAGCAGACUUUGUAAAUGCUGGACAUAGACAGUCGUAUACAAGGCAAUUUGAGGAGAGAUGAGAAAGAGUGCAUGGAGUAACAUAGAGACUCCACCCCUACCUCCCAAGAGAGACUUUUACAAAAAUAAAACUUGUUAAUAAGAACUGGUCAAAUCUGCACCCAGAGAGAAGACAGUGGGAACUGAAUGUAGACCACAAUAUAGUAUUUUCACUUUUUUUGUUGUUAGCUUAGCUUGCACUUUUUCCUCAUUGUUUUCCUUUUUGAUCUGAUUUUUCUUGUCCAACAUGAUAUUUGUGGAGUAGAGGAAUUACACAUUUUUUAACAUUGGAUCACUUGCCAACUGGGGAAGGAGAUGAGGGAAAAGGAGAGGAAAAAAUUAGAACACAGGGUUUUGUGGAAGUGAAUGCUGAAAACUGUUGAAUGUUAAAAAAAAAAAAUGUAUAUUUUGAAAAUAAAAAAGCUUUAAAAAAAAACUGGUCAAGAAUUUCUUAGGGCAGAAAUGAGAAACCUCACAAAGGUCCAAUUGAAGGAGUAGGAUUAGAUAACAUUAUUUAUUAAGCACUACGUACUAGAUACUAGAUACUGUACUAAGCAAACUUUGGCUAACCAAAUAUCAUGUAUGUGGCAAAAAGUGUAUUAUUUUUCAGAUAUGAGUUGUUUCUAAUUGUCAAUGAGGUCCUUUUCCAAGUCACAAUUCUUGGAGGUCUCUUGGAGGAAAGUAUUAGUAGUAGAUUGGGAGUGGUCAGGUUCCCCAAAUACUCAUGUGGGUUUCUCUCUGAAGAUUACAAUCUCCUUCCUACUCCCCACCCCCCAUUUCAUCAUCCAAAUCAAUCCAAUUACCAGACCUUGAUUCUCAAGGACAUCCUAAUCCUAAAUAAGUUACUUUACUCUCUUCUAUCUUCUUCUCUUCUCUCUCUCUUUCUCCCUUCCUCCCUCCCUCUCUCUAAAUAAAAUAACUUUCUUUCUCCUGAAAAAUGACAUUCUUAGUGAGAAAAUUCAAAAUAUUGGUUAGGUUCUCUGCUUUUAGCUUUCUAGCAAAAACCUUUAGUGUUCCAGCCUGCCAUCCAUCUAUAACCCUUUCUUGUACCAGUUAUUCAUUGACAUAUAUCAGGAACUCAUCAUCCUGGUACAUUAUCUCCUUUGAUCUACACCCAAAUGUUCUCUAGUUGACUAUCCUUAUCCACCUCAUUCUUGUGGAUUUCUACAUAGGUGUUUUUUAAUGCUGCUUCACACUCCACACUCCCAUUUCAUCUGUACUUUCUGAACGGAGUGUUCCUUUUCAUCACUAUGUUUAUCCCAAGUGUCAUUUCACUAACUUUCAUGGAUACCAAUGAGGUCACCAUCCCUCUAGAUAAUAAGAUCACAGGGUUUUUUUUUUGUUUUUUUUUUGGUAAUUAUUAUCCAUGCUUUGGUGUAUGGACUUCAAAGCCUGAAUACGAUUUCCAUUCCUUUUAUCUAUCAUUGUUUUGGGUGAAUUAUGCAUCUCUAGUGCUAGUCUUCCUGGAUCAUAUCUACUUUUACCAGUGAAGGCUCUGUGAGGUCAGCAGCUGCAGAUAAUUUUUUUGUCCCCCUCUCCCUCUAGAACACAUUUGACAAUCUACAGAUAAUAUGGUGAUCCUAAACAACUUUAGAUAUAGACAUCAUCUCUGGUCAAGGAAUUGUUAUUUCAGUAUUCUAAGCCAUGUUUCAAAAAGUCAGUUGACAAAUUUUUAUUUCAGUGAUUGCCAAAUACUAUGCACAGAUAGCAGGGAUAUAAAAAAAGCCAGAAACAUCUCCUGCCCUCUAAGAACACACUUUCUAACGGGAGGAAACAAUAUGCCAAAAAAAAAAAAAAAAAAAAAAAAACCAUACAUACAAAAAUAUGCAAUCGAAUGAGAGGCAAUCUCAGAAGGAGAGCAGUUAGCAGUAGGAGGACACAAGAAAGAGCUCUGGCAAAAAGCAGGCUUUGAGCCGAGUCUUGAAGGAAGCCAGGAGAUAAAGGUCAAAAAGUAACAUUCCAGGCCUAAGGGACAGUUAGUAGAAUGCCACAUAAGUAGGGAGAUAGAAUGUAAUAAUGGACAAGGUCAAGAUCACUUGAACAAUACAGUAAGGAGAGAGAAAAGUGUAAAGAUUGGAAAGUUACAAAAGGGCCAGGUUUUAAAGGGCUUUAAAUGACAGUAGACAUUAUAUGUGAGUUAAUAGAAAACCCCUAUUAAUUGUAAGGGAGAGAGAGGACUAGAAGACAAGGAAAUAAAUGGUCAGACUUACACUUUAGGAAAAUGAUGACAGCUUAGUGAAAGAUUGAAGUGAAAAAGAAGACCAAUCAAAAGGCUGUUACUUCAAUUGUCCAGGUAUGAGAUGAUGAAGCCCUACACUAAAGUGGCAAUUGCGAGUGGAGAAAAGGGAACUACAUAAAAUAUAUUGUGAAAGUAGAAAACAGAUGUCUACUGACCUAAGUGAUAUACCUAGUCACUAAAAGCACAUCUGCACAAAACCACUGAGAAUCCCAUUCUCCAGAUCACAAAGCUAGUGGUUUCUUUAAAUUACGAUUAAUUAGAAAUAUUAUUUUUGCUAUAUUUCUACUUCUAUUACCAUAUUCCAUGGAUUCAGUUCCAGAGCACUAAAAUAAAGGCAAUACUUAGGUACAUAGAGCAGAAGAUUCAAUUUCACCUCAAAGUGUGUUGGACUCAACAUUCCCCACUCUCAGUGGUAGCUGGAUAAAUGCCUGAAGUUUCAAAUGAACAUUAUGACAGCAGAAACUACUAAAAAUGUCUAUCAUUACCUAUAUCUGAAGAGCGGGGAAAAUAAUUAAGAGAGAGGGACAUAAUAAGCAGGAAAAGAAAGAGAAGGGAAUCAAUGAAGCAUUUUUAAAGGUAUACAGUAGGAAGUUCAGAGGAAACCCCAAAACCAAGGAAGCUCUGGAAAUAACAUGCUAAUUUUUUUUUUUUUUAAGUAAAGCUUAACAGAAACUUGAAGUUCCAUAUAUAAUCUUUCUCUUCCGUUCUUUAUAUGAGGAAAUGUUUAAUUGUUGGUAUUUAUCAAGAUCAGAAUAAAAACUUAUUUUAAAAAACUAAGCAAAUUUUAAAAAGCAAUAAAGAAGGGCAAUGAAACACAGAUCGAAGGACAUGAUUCAUGAUUCAAAGUCUUAAAAAAUUCAAUUACAACAAAGUGUCUAAAUUUUCCAUUUUUAUUCAAAGUUGAUACAGAAGUGCUAAUGUGUCCAUAAAAUAAUUAUUAUACAUCAGGUACAGGACAAAAUACCACAGAAAGGAAUGUACUCUGCAAGAAAUGUGGCUUAUUUAAGGUAUCCAAAUACUUUUGAAGGCUAUUGUAGCUGGCAAAGUCACACACACACAAAGUACACAAAUAACAUCUAUUUUCAUAUUUUACAACAAGUCAAUAAUGGAAAACUGCCAUUUUUUUUAGCAGAUUCAUUUUAAUUUUUAUAACACUUUUGAAAACACAUCAAACUGGUAUCACACAAUAUGUCUAUAACUUUUAAAAUCAUAUUUAAUAUACAUUAGGUUAGAAUAGUGAAAUUAGUCAAGACUAGUUAAUUUUAAAUUAUUCUUUCACUAAACCCCUUUCAAUAUUGGAAUUAACCCGAUUUACAAAAGUCUUCUGGGCAUUAAACAAAAUUGUACAAUGACCUGAAACCAAACAAGUCCACUUUAUUUUUCAAGAAUUGGGAGAAUCAAUCAAAGGAAAAUUGACCAACGAUAAAAACAUAAAAUUAAUUUUUCCACAACCUCAUUUACAAUAAUUUUUGGUUUUUGGUGCACAUGGCCAACAAAUUAAAACAAUACAUAUACAUAAAUACACGGGCCCCAGUGUAUUAAAUGGUCUCUCAUAGAAAAGCUGCACAAGAUAGCGGAAUGGGCCAAGAUAAAGAACAAGUCAUUUAUUACAGACAUCUUUUAAAAAUGCAUUAAUACUUACAUAUCAAAGUUACUAGAUAAAAGCAGCAGUACUCUGCUGACAUUUGGCUUAAAAGUAAAGGAAUGAAUGAAGAGAUUUCACAGGAUAUUAGAAAAAGAAUUUAUUUCUUCUUGAAGAAGACUACUAACAUUUUGCACAGCAACUAUUUUUGAUAUCCACCUUAUUAAAAAAUAAAAGUAUUGAGACACAUAGCACAUUUAUAUAGAAUUGCCAUAUAUGAUAGUCAGCACUGAUCUAAAACAGUAGGGAUUCCAAAAUGAGACUGGUUUCCUGUCCUUUUUCUAACUUUUGUUGACUAAAAAACUGAUAUGGUGUAAAAGAAAAAACACAUACCACAAAAAAAUGUAGCAUAUGUCCAUAAUUAAAACUGUAAAGAGCACUCACAGUUUAAAAGAAUCUUCAAAACAUUUCUUUAAAUUAUCACACAAACAUUUUAACUUCAAAAUAACAAUAAGGGGUACAACAGGCAUGCUGUAGUAAAUAAAAGUGUUUUUUUGUUGCUUUAUCAUACACUGCCAAAAGUCAAACCCUUUCUUUACUUCAACUUUUGAGAAGUAAUAAUCACUAUAUACUAUCUUUCUCUGUAUCCUUGAUAUCUCUGUUUCUAAGGGGUCUCUUCUCCUUUAUUGAAUUACUUCCCAGCUUUUUAAGAUCACACCUUCUAGUUUUUCUACUCUGUGCUGCUCUAACCUUCCCCAAAAGUCUUAAAGGAAACAGUUCAAAAAUGUGGAAGUUUUAUGGCUCCCUAAUAUCAGUAGUCUUUAGGCAGUAGUAUCAAGAAUUCUCCAUAAUUCCUCCCCUAUGGGAAUUUUAUACAUAUACAUAUACAUAUAUAUGUAUAUAUACAGAUAUAUCGAAUACAGUUAAUCCCCCUACAAGAUUCUGAAUGAAUAAUGGUUUGAAGGGAAAACAAACAGAAUAAUACUAAUUCUUUUAACAAUUAAUACCACCACAUCACAGGUCAAGACAACAGAAUGAGAAGAUACACCUGUAUAAGUAAGAUGGUCCAAUGUGUAGCUACUCUGAGAAGAUGAAAGACAAGGGUAGCCAUCUUGUGACUUCCCUACUAAUGGGGUGAGACAUGGAACUAUGAUCUCAGUUACUGAAGUUAGAUAGGAGCCAGACCAUGUCAACCAGCUUCUCCAAGGGGAGCAUCUCCACUACCAGAAGAGGGGUCUCCUCCCAGCUUGCCAUCACAGUUUUCCAUCCUCUUCAGAGAUGACGGCCAACCAACUUGUCAGCAGGACUUAUGUUCUGAAUUGUCUCAGUAAUAGUGCUCAUUUGUAAACCGUACCAUUCACAUUCUCUCACCCAUUUUCCCUUAAGGAAAAAGCAUAGUGACAAUCUGCAAGAGCCCAGUAUUUCGUAUGGAAGAAAAGAGGAAAAGAAAGAAAAGAAAGUAGAACAUGAACUCAUUUUCAAAAUCCUGUUAUAAUGGCUGAUGCAAGAGAACACCUAUAAGAAAAUAGUUUUUCUUUCUUUUCACAAAGACUCUUGGCUUACAAAUUCUGCCAGUAAAACUGACUAACUCAUUAUGAUGGACUUACCACAGAAUUCCAAUAAACAGCUUUAUAGCAAAA